ACGAACGCUGGCGGCGUGCCUAACACAUGCAAGUCGAACGGACUCUUCGGAGUUAGUGGCGGACGGGUGAGUAAUACAUAGAAAACAUGCCUUAAAGUGGGGGAUAACAUUCCGAAAGGGGUGCUAAUACCGCAUAAUGUAGUCGGUUGAGAUACUGAUUAAGAAAGGAGCAAUUCGCUUAUGGAGUGGUCUAUGGUCGAUUAGAUAGUUGGUGGGGUAAAGGCUUACCAAGUCGAUGAUCGAUAGCUGGUCUGAGAGGACGAUCAGCCACACUGGGACUGAGACACGGCCCAGACUUCUACGGAAGGCAGCAGUGGGGAAUUUUCCGCAAUGGGCGAAAGCCUGACGGAGCGACGCCGCGUGGAGGAAGAAGUAUUUCGGUAUGUAAACUCCUUUUGUCAGGGACGAAACAAAUGACGGUACCUGAAGAAUAAGCAUCGGCUAACUACGU
rnacentral:rRNA from 1 species